ensembl:lncRNA
UAAAAAAAAAAAAACCUGGAGAACUAAAAUGCGUUACAAUUUUGCGCCGUCUUUUCCCAUUCGCUACUGAAACGGAAAGUAAAAAUGACGUCACCGGUCCGACCGGAAACGCGGAAGAGCUGUCAGCCAGGCAGUGGCUUUAACGGAGGACACAUCUGAGGUCGUUUUAGGCCUUUUUUUAAAACUACAUUCAUCGAACAGACUUUAUUUAAAGACAGUUUAACGCUAGAGCGCUGUUUUGGGUGAGUUUGUGUCGCUUUAGUUCACUAAGAUAUCGAUAUAGCUCAUAUUUUUCCUCAGGCCUCGAAUUUCCUCCUGCGAUAAAAGACUGUAAUCGACAUUUUUUUUCAGUUUCUCAGGUAGAAGCUGUGCCGUAACUGGUCUGUGAGGAGUCUACAACCGUCAUCAUGAGUAAUUUUGGGGACGAUAGUGAUUCUGAAGUGGAUCGGAUCAUGACGGACCGGCCGCCCAGCAGUUAUGGCUCCAUGCAUAGUGAUCAUGAAGAUGAAGAGGAUGAUGAAUUUGAAGAACCUCCGCUCAAACUACCAGCGACAAGGUGUGGUUAUAUACAACUACUAUAUACACACACACACACACACAAAAAAAGAAGUGGAGUGUCAUUUCGUUUAGUAAUAAUAAUGAUAAAUCAGAUUAGGGCAAAUUUUUCAAUCAAAUUACUUUACGUGUGGAAAAUUGAUUCAUUUAUUGUAAGUGAUGUGAGAAGUAAUUUUAAUGUAAUAGUUGUUGAAAGACGUAUUUUAUGCUCACCGAGCCUGCAUUUAUUUGAUCGAAAAUAUAGUUAAAGCAAUAUAAUAAAAUGCUUUGAAAUUAAAUUUCA